rnacentral:rRNA from 1 species
UACGUAGGGUCCGAGCGUUGUCCGGAAUCAUUGGGCGUAAAGAGCGUGUAGGCGGCCACUUAAGUCCUGCGUGAAAUCUUGCGGCUCAACCGCAAGCGGUCGUGGGAAACUGGGUGGCUAGAGUGCGGGAGAGGAGAGUGGAAUUCCUGGUGUAGCGGUGGAAUGCGCAGAUAUCAGGAAGAACACCCGUGGCGAAGGCGGCUCUCUGGAACGCAACUGACGCUGAGACGCGAAAGCGUGGGGAGCAAACAGG